AUUAAGUAGGCGGAGGAGAAGACAUUAAAUAAGAGUCCCUUAGUAGUGGCGAACGAACAGGGAUUGGCUCACCCUAAGAAUCAGGGCCUCAGGUCAUGAAUUGUAGUCUCUAGAUGUGUUGCCAUCAGGGGUGCUGAUGCAAGCCUCUUGAGAAAGAGCAUUCGCAAGGGUGACAAUCCCGUGAGAUAUUGGUAAUCCCCUGGGCAUGGCAUGCAAUCUAAGAGUCACGUUCCUUGAAAAUGGAGUGCAAAAUAGGUGGUAAAUGUCAUCUCAAGCUAAGCAGGGCCUUGAGACCGAUAGGGAACAAGUACCAUGAGGGAAAGAUGAAAAGGACUUUGGAAGGAGAGUUAAAAGUGCCUGAAGUUGCUGAAUGUGAAGCAAACUGAACUAUUGCUGCUUGGCGAGACUGUCGCGCGCUGAUGUGAUGGCUUAUUGAGGCAAUGCAAAUUCCUCAAGAGGUUGUAUCUGAAAGCGCACAAUGUUUCUCGCCCUGCGUGUCAUCUGCAGAUCUGCACUGAGCAUGACGCCAUUCACAUGAAAGUCGCUUAUAAGUGAUUGAAAGUGGUGGUAGGAGCUUGUUGCCGUUCUGUUGAUUGGUGUGCCCUUCGGGCACGCUGGGGAUGACCAAAUGGUUCUAUUUGACCCGUCUUGAAACACGGACCAAGGAGUCUGGCACAUGUGCAAGUUCUUGAGCAGCAAAGUUUAAGUGCACUAUGAAAGUAUCUGCUAGGAUCUUCUGCUCCAGCAACUGACCGUUCAAGUGAGAGAGGUUUGAGUGUGAGCAUGCGUGCCAGGACCCGAAAGAUGGUGAACUAUGCCUGAGAAGGGCAAACUCAGGGGAAACUCUGAUGGAGGCUUGCAGCGCUACUGACGUGCAAAUCGUUCGUCAUACUUGGGUAUAGGGGCGAAAGACUAAUCGAACCAUCUAGUA
rnacentral:rRNA from 1 species